UGUACCAUGCUGGUAGCCAGUAUGAAAUAGGGCUUGCUGGUAACCAGCGUUGUGCCCC
rfam:Danio rerio chromosome 24, GRCz11 reference primary assembly.